UACAUGCAAGUCGAACGAGGUGCUCAAGUAGCAAUACGAGAGUAUCCUAGUGGCGAACGGGUGAGUAACGCGUUGGUGACCUGCCCCAAAGUGUGGGAUAACAGUCCGAAAGGACUGCUAAUACCGCAUGUGGUCUUCGGAUCCAGAAACCGAUGACUAAGGGAGUAAUCCGCUUUGGGAGGGACCUGCGUCCCAUCAGCUAGUUGGUAGGGUAACGGCCUACCAAGGCUACGACGGGUAGGGGACCUGAGAGGGUGGCCCCCCACAAUGGAACUGAAACACGGUCCAUACACCUACGGGUGGCAGCAGUAGGGAAUAUUGCACAAUGGGCGAAAGCCUGAUGCAGCAACGCCGCGUGUGCGAAGAAGGCCUUCGGGUCGUAAAGCACUUUUCUGAGAGAUGAGAAAGGACAGUAUCUCAGGAAUAAGUCUCGGCUAACUACGUGCCAGCAGCCGCGGUAAAACGUAGGAGGCGAGCGUUAUCCGGAUUCACUGGGCGUAAAGCGCGUGCAGGCGGUUCGGUAAGUUGGGCGUGAAAUCUCCUGGCUCAACUAGGAGAGGUCGUUCAAUACUACCGGGCUAGAGAGCGGUAGAGGAAGAUGGAAUUCCCGGUGUAGUGGUGAAAUGCGUAGAUAUCGGGAGGAACACCAGUGGCGAAGGCGAUCUUCUGGACCGUUUCUGACGCUCAGACGCGACAGCUAGGGUAGCAAACGGGAUUAGAGACCCCGGUAGUCCUAGCCGUAAACGAUGUGAACUAGGCGUCGGUGGGUUAAACUCCAUCGGUGCCGCAGCUAACGCGAUAAGUUCACCGCCUGGGGACUACG
rnacentral:rRNA from 1 species